rnacentral:sRNA from 1 species
UAUCAUCACACACACCUCUCUCUCAUCUCUAUAUCUCUCUCUCUCUCUCUAAGAGACAGACAGACAUAGAUAUAUCUU